rnacentral:rRNA from 1 species
GUCCACGCCCUAAACGAUGUCGACUGGUUGUUGGGGGUUUGACACUCUCAGUAACGAAGCUAACGCGUGAAGUCGACCGCCUGGGGAGUACGGCCGCAAGGUUAAAACUCAAAGGAAUUGACGGGGACCCGCACAAGCGGUGGAUUAUGUGGAUUAAUUCGAUGCAACGCGAAAACCUUACCUACCCUUGACAUGUCCGAGAGCCCGUAGAGAUAUGGGUGUGCCCGAAAGGGAAUCGGAACACAGGUGCUGCAUGGCUGUCGU